AUUGAACGCUGGCGGCAGGCCUAACACAUGCAAGUCGAGCGGAGCGGCGGACGGGUGAGUAAUGCCUAGGAAUCUGCCUGGUAGUGGGGGAUAACGUCCGGAAACGGGCGCUAAUACAGCAUACUAUCAGAUGAGACUAGGUCGGAUUAGCUAGUUGGUGGGGGAAAGGCCUACCAAGGCGACGAUCCGUAACUGGUCUGAGAGGAUGAUCAGUCACCCUUGACCUGAGACCCGGUCCAGACUCCUACGGGAGGCAGCAGUGGGGAAUAUUGGACAAUUGGCGCAAGCCUGAUCCAGCCAUGCCGCGUGUUUGAAGAAGGUCUUCGGAUUUUAAAGCACUUUAAGUUGGGAGGCGUUACCAACAGAAUAAGCACCGGCUAACUUCGUGCCAGCAGCCGCGGUAAUAC
rnacentral:rRNA from 1 species